rnacentral:rRNA from 1 species
AUGCAUGCAUGCAAACACGACCAACGCCAAAGUGGUCAACUGCUCCGUCCGGCCGCUUGGUCGACUGCCUAUCCGGCUCGCACGCCCACGCCCCGCGCCGGUGACCUCCUCCGCCUCGCCGUUGCUGGCCGGGUGGCUGUUGCCGCCCUCCGUGCCGGCUCGGCCUACCAGCUCCUGCGUCCCUCUCGGCCGCCUGUCGCGCGCUCACCAUCUUCGGCGAUCCUGACGGCUCCUACAUCCUUCCCGGCUGCGCCCUCGACGCUGACUUGCCACAGCUCUGCCCACGCCGCGGCCGGCUGCGCCUCCCCCAGCAUCCGGCCUGCCCAGCACCUGGCCGCGUCCGGCUCCUGCGCGCCGACUCCCGCGACCCGCCCGGUCUGGAGUCCCGCUACCCGGCCGCUUGCCGGGUUGGCUCCGCGUCCCGCCCGGGUCGGCCUCCCGCUCCGGCCGCCUCUGCGCCGGCGUCCCGCGUCGCGCCAGGCCGCGCUGUGGCCUUGCUCGGCCGUCCUUCUGGCCCGUCGCAUGCGCCCCUCCACCCGACGUCGCGCCUGGCCGCCUCCCUCGGCCGGCUUCGCUCCACCAGCGGCUGGGUCCUCCGCCCCGGCUGGCCUGCCCCCUCGCGCUCCGGCGGGCCCUCUGCUGCUCUCCUCCGCGGCCCUCCUCGGGCCGGCUCCGCGUCUCCCCAGCCGGACCCGGCCUCCCGCGCCUCGGCCGCCUCCACGCACCCGGCCGGCCUGGCUGGCUGCCGGCCGUUCCGCACCCGGACGUUGCUGCGCCGUCUCCGCCCGCCCCUGUAUCACGUCCCCAUCACCGGCUUGCCGCAUGCCGGCUCCGCCUCCACCCCUGGCCGGCUUGCCGCAUGCCGGCUCCGCCUCCGCCCUUGCCCGAGUCGCGUGA